UGGUCCAGCAGGACACCAUGCGAGUCCCUGCAGCUUGCUGCUGGCCUCCACGCUUUCGGGUUUGCGUUCCAGCAGCUGGAACACAACACAGAACCUAUUACCUGCUCCGUCCUGCUGCCACUUCCGGGUGCCGUUAGCCGGGAGCAGUGUGUGCGGCUGCUGGGCUCGAGCUGUGUGUUAGUGGAAACGAUGUGACAGGCACACCUGUUUCCACUGCCAUUUGCUGUGUAUUGCCGGACAGAGCUGCCAGGGUGGUCAGAGGUGAAGCUGCUUAAUCACCAGCGUAAGACAGUGUGCUGGGAGAUGAGGAUGUCUGAAGAUGGAAGACGAUCUGAUUGGAUAGUAUGGGGGCAGGUGGAAGGUGUACUGUGCCUUGCUGAACACUGUCUGCAAGUUAAGCAGGAAAGGUCCCAUCCAGGAAGGCUCCUGUGGAAGAAGCCGCGAGAGGUCCUGAACCAGCAAGCGUCAUCUGGAAACACAGCAAAAAAAGACUACCAACGCCUUUGGAGUUGCAUGGGACCUGUCAGCUCACUCCAGGCAUCUCCUGCUGAAUAGCAUAUUGAGGCAAGAUGUAUGAGGACACAUCUGUACACACAGAGAGUCCUCCUGAAUCCUGUUCCAGUGUUUGUAAUCAUUUUUGUUGAAAAACCACAUCAGUCGCUGAUCGGUAGAGUAUGUGGUCACGCAGCAUGGCCACAGGAAGUAUGACGCCGAAGACAUAGCAGCUACUCCCUGAAAAUGGCCAGGAGACAUCUACGUUUUUGCCACCACUCCCUGUAACUGGCUCCAAAUAGUGCCUGAUUGUCAAUCCCUUUGUGUAUAAAUAGGGGUUGUAUAACACAGAAUGAGGCGCAAUGUUCAUAUAUUUAUCCCUACUUCCAUGCCUAAUACUCAGGAUUUGUGAUGCUCCAUCUAGAUUAGCUGUUCAAUUACUAGUCUUAACCUUACAUUUUUCCUUGCAAUUGCAAUAGUUUUUUUAUUCCUUAUUUGCAUUAGUUGAUCCAGGCCACAUUCUCUCUCUCUCUCUCUCUCUCUCUCUCUCUCUCUCUAUCCACCCCCCCCCCUCCCCACUGUAAACCAUGGCCCUCAUUCCGAGUUGUUCGCUCGGUAUUUUUCAUCGCAUCGCAGUGAAAAUCCGCUUAGUACGCAUGCGCAAUGUUCGCACUGCGACUGCGCCAAGUAACUUUACUAUGAAGAAAGUAUUUUUACUCACGGCUUUUUCUUCGCUCCGGCGAUCGUAAUGUGAUUGACAGGAAAUGGGUGUUACUGGGCGGAAACACGGCGUUUCAGGGGCGUGUGGCUGAAAACGCUACCGUUUCCGGAAAAAACGCAGGAG